rnacentral:rRNA from 1 species
GACGAACGCUGGCGGCGUGCUUAACACAUGCAAGUCGAACGGAAAGGCCCUGCUCUUGUGGGGUGCUCGAGUGGCGAACGGGUGAGUAACACGUGAGUAACCUGUCCUUGACUUUGGGAUAACUUCAGGAAACUGGGGCUAAUACCGGAUAUGAGCUCCUGCUGCAUGGGGGGGGUUGGAAAGUGGCGGUGGUUGGGGAUGGACUCGCGGCUUAUCAGCUUGUUGGUGGGGUAGUGGCUUACCAAGGCUUUGACGGGUAGCCGGCCUGAGAGGGUGACCGGCCACAUUGGGACUGAGAUGCGGCCCAGACUCAUACGGGAGGCAGCAGUGGGGAAUAUUGCACAAUGGGCGGAAGCCGGAUGCAGCAACGCCGCGUGCGGGAUGACGGCCUUCGGGUUGUAAACCGCUUUCGCCUGUGACGAAGCGUGAGUGACGGUAAUGGGUAAAGAAGCACCGGCUAACUACGUG